AGUCUUGUAGUUUAACCGGUAAAAACAUGAAGCUCAUAACUUUAAGAUUAAAGGUUCAAUUCCUUUCAAGCCUA
rnacentral:tRNA from 1 species